AUACCCUAGUUAUUUCAAAUCUCUUUCUCUCUCGCUUUCAGAACAACGGAGCUCGAUUUCAAAAUAUCGGAGCUCUCUUUCUCUCCUCUUGCCUUCUCUACGAAUCGCAGAGGUUGGGCUUCAAUCGGUGUGAGAUUUGGUGAAGAUUCCUUUUCUAAAGUCUGAGAUUGAUGGUCUGCACCAGGAGCUUAUGCAUGCUAGAAGUGUAAUUGAUUAUGAAAAGAAGGCAAAUAUUGAGCUUAUGGAACAGAGACAGGCAAUGGAGAAUAACCUAGUUUCUAUGGCUCGUGAAGUUGAGAAACUUCGUGCAGAACUUGCUAGAGUUGAUGGUAGACCGUGGGGUGC